ensembl:snRNA U6 U6 spliceosomal RNA
AGUUCAAUUUGGCAGCACUUGUUCUAAAAAUUGGAAUGAUAGAGAGAUUAGCAUGGCCCCUGCAUGACGAUGACAUGAAAAUUUGUAACGUGUUCCAUAUUUUA